CGCUGUGCCUCUCCCGCUGCUGCCUGGGCUCUACUAGAUCAUGCCACCCAUUACUGUCAACUGCCUCUGAUCUCUAGCUACUCUGCUCUCCACGUUUGAGGGGAAUCAAAGAAGAUUCAGGGCCAAGACUACUGGAGAGAUAAGUGGGAGGUGGCGCUGUGCUCUGGCCGAGUUGGUGCUUGCUGGCUGUAACAGCAACUCCAUGUGGAACGUCUGCGCAUUUUCCAGUGGAGUAGCUGUUACCUGCAGAGAGUUACCUCUGGCCCUUACCCAUCCAGCUGCAAGAAAGCAAACACUGUUCAUACAGUUAAACAGCCACAUGUUACAGUAAUAGAAAAAUGCUGCUUUUGGAUGGCACAAAGUCAGAGUCAGUGUGAGAGUCAAUGUUAGAUGCCUAACUGGGGAUAUGCCAUGUGCUCCUCCAUACUUGCCUCUGUACCCAUGGUAAGUGAUAUACUUAAUAGGGGCACUAAUCCAUAUAUAAUGAAUGUUCCAUACUUACACUAUAAGGAUCUACUAACCUUUUUACAUUACAUUUAAGCCAGUGAUUGGGACACAGGGUGAUGACCUAUGAAUUGACAGCCAGUGUUUGCAAUAUGACUGCCUGUCAGUUCUGUAGGCCACUGUUCUGUUUGUUCUCAUAAACACACACAGAUUCAGUGGGCAAUCUGACUAAAAGGUCAAAUGGACCAUAUAAAAUAAUAUGGAAAGUACAGUGUGUUUAGUAAUAAACACAGCAUUUAACAAUAUAUAUGUAAUUUAAUAAAUGUACUGGUGUAUUUGGAUGCGACUGUGAAGGAUUUUUAUUAAAUGUAUUUCAUUUCAGUUUGCAUUAAAGGUUGGAAAUAUUUCUUAUAC